UACGUAGGAUGCAAGCGUUGUCCGGAAUUACUGGGUGUAAAGGGAGCGCAGGCGGGUAUUUAAGUCAGCUGUGAAAACCAAGGGCUCAACCUUUGAAUUGCAGUUGAAACUGAGUAUCUUGAGUGGAGUAGAGGUAAGCGGAAUUCCGAGUGUAGCGGUGAAAUGCGUAGAUAUUCGGAGGAACACCGGUGGCGAAGGCGGCUUACUGGGCUCUAACUGACGCUGAGGCUCGAAAGUGUGGGUAGCAAACAGG
rnacentral:rRNA from 1 species